GAUGAAGAACGUAGCGAAAUGCGAUAAGUAAUGUGAAUUGCAGAAUUCAGUGAAUCAUCGAAUCUUUGAACGCACAUUGCGCCCGCCAGUAUUCUGGCGGGCAUGCCUGUUCGAGCGUCAUUACAACCCUCAGGCCCCCGGGCCUGGCGUUGGGGAUCGGCGGAAGCCCCCUGCGGGCACAACGCCGUCCCCCAAAUACAGUGGCGGUCCCGCCGCAGCUUCCAUUGCGUAGUAGCUAACACCUCGCAACUGGAGAGCGGCGCGGCCACGCCGUAAAACCCCCAACUUCUGAAUGUUGACCUCGAAUCAGGUAGGAAUACCCGCUGAACUUAAGCAUAUCAAUAAGCGGAGGA
rnacentral:misc_RNA from 1 species